ACAGUCUGGAACUUUUCUCUAAUUAAGCAUAACUUAACUAUUCCAUUUUGCAGAGUUCCCCCGAGAGCAUGGAGAUUUUGUUGACAUCACAGACAAAGAAUUUAAUUGACUUCACAGAAGCCACGCCUCAGGUGCCUUCACCAAUAAUUAUGCCCAGGUGGUUAGUGCCAAGUGGACUGACUUCUAAUGGGCCUCUGGGAAAUGAUGUUACUUUAUCUCUUAAGACAACUAAAAUAAACACUGAAGCCCUAUUGGCUACUGACUUAUCACCUCCAUUGUACCCCUCUGAAAUCACACCCAGUCCUGUUACUGAAGAUACUACUCGACAGAAAUGUUUACUCACCACUGAACUCUGAGCUUCAACAAAUCUAAUUUCCUAGUGUAAAAGACUUACCUGAAAUUAAGCCAUGCUUAUGCCAUGGUUAACAAAGAAUGGUUGCUUUACGGUAAAUCCUUCAACUGGAACUAAGAGUAUGAUUUUAGGACACAGAGCUGCUGGGAAACCUGAGUAUCUCUUGCAAAAUAGAUGGGAACAAAUUCUGAGAUGACAUGAAAUCCUCAGGGUUUUCAUCCAUUAAAAUGCUUUUGCUAGAGAAUUCCUUCCUGGUUUAUAGGUGCAAAUGAAAAUGCUCACAGGGAUAAGCCGCCCCCCCCCCCCCCCCCCCGGCUUAAACACAGUUAUGGGAAGGCUGGCGGCGACUGUAAAAGAAAAUAGCAGUGACAUUUUUACAGUCCUUUUUUUGUGGCCAUCUCUUUUUAUCUCCUUUUGUAUUGUUACCUAGCAAAUCUUCUUGAUUUUAAUCUUGUUUCUAGACUCCACACUUUCGCUAAUCAUCUGUGGAAGUGAAAAUGCAGCACCUUGAUUGCAAUUUAUUCUGCUGGCAGAUACUCUCAUAAACAUGUCAAAGCUACUACAUGUGUGCAUGGAUGACUUUCACGAUUUGUUGCAUUAAGUCACUAAAAUAUUGCUAGGUAGACAGUGCAUCUGGUAUGGGGUCCUUGGUGCUUUCUGAGCUUAGUUGUUUUCUUGCAGAAAACAUACUUGUUCUCUUGGCCUGUCAGUAUUAGUUGGAAAGGUCUUUGUGGUUUCUUGAUUCGGUUGUUUGCUAUUAGCUUAUUUGUCUGAGUUGGUAGUUCCUUGAUUGGGGUUUUCUUUACUUCUUGAUUGUUGGUCUAGUGUUAAUCUCUGCUCAUCUUUGUAUUGAUUGCUGGUGAUGAACUGUUUUGGUCUUUUUGUUUCUUUUUUGGUUGUUUGAUUGUCUUUAGACAGGAUAAGACACUAAUAUGUAUAAAAAAAAAACCAAAGUCCACUCUCUUUAGCACUGAUGAUGCUACCUAGUUUGGUAAAAAAAAAUG
rnacentral:lncRNA from 1 species